UACGAAGGGUGCAAACGUUGCUCGGAAUUAUUGGGCGUAAAGCGCACGUAGGCGGCUUUGCAAGUCGGAUGUGAAAUCCCCUCGGCUUAACCAAGGAAGUGCAUCCGAAACUGCAGAGCUUGAGUACUUAAGAGGAUCGCGGAAUUCCCGGUGUAGAGGUGAAAUUCGUAGAUAUCGGGAGGAACACCAGUGGCGAAGGCGGCGAUCUGGGAAGAUACUGACGCUGAGGUGCGAAAGCGUGGGGAGCAAACAGG
rnacentral:rRNA from 1 species